GUCGCAUGAUACAGUGUGAAAACACUCCGGUGGUAUGAGAUGGACCCGCGUCUGAUUAGCUAGUUGGUGAGGUAACGGCCCACCAAGGCGACGAUCAGUAGCCGGCCUGAGAGGGUGAACGGCCACAUUGGGACUGAGACACGGCCCAAACUCCUACGGGAGGCAGCAGUGGGGAAUAUUGCACAAUGGGGGAAACCCUGAUGCAGCGACGCCGCGUGAGUGAUGAAGUAUUUCGGUAUGUAAAGCUCUAUCAGCAGGGAAGAUAAUGACGGUACCUGACUAAGAAGCACCGGCUAAAUACGUGCCAGCAGCCGCGGUAAUACGUAUGGUGCAAGCGUUAUCCGGAUUUACUGGGUGUAAAGGGUGCGUAGGUGGCAAGGCAAGUCUGAAGUGAAAAUCCGGGGCUCAACCCCGGAACUGCUUUGGAAACUGUUUAGCUGGAGUACAGGAGAGGUAAGUGGAAUUCCUAGUGUAGCGGUGAAAUGCGUAGAUAUUAGGAGGAACACCAGUGGCGAAGGCGACUUACUGGACUGCUACUGACACUGAGGCACGAAAGCGUGGGGAGCAAACAGGAUUAGAUACCCUGGUAGUCCACGCCGUA
rnacentral:rRNA from 1 species